CGAAAGAAUGUAAUUUUUUAAAUCAACAGAACGCGAUCGGCAACUAGUCCAAAGGAUAUUGAAAUAAGUUCGUAGAAAGGAAAUUACACACCGCGACAGGCAUAAAUAACGAAUACACGUUAUGCCAGUUUCAAGUAGUGUCUAAAGUAGCUUUCAAGUCGUGCCCGGUCGAGCCUUAAAGUAGCGAGCGUCGUCGCAACGUAACACUAACCGAUGAUGCAAAUGCGAUGUAAGGUGCAACUCCAGCAAAAAAAAGAGAGGAAAAAAGGAACGAAAAGGAAAGAAAAAUAUCAGCUUUCCAGGUGAAAGUCUUGCGAUCGUCGAGCGGGCGAAGUAGGGAAGUUGAGACGCUACUGUAUCAAGGUACAAGGCACAUCGGUGGAAGGCAAAGAGACGUAAGGAAGAUCUCGACCUUGGAGUAAAAUUUUUGACAGAUCGCCACUGAAGAAUAAAUCGCAUCGCUAAUGUUUGAGAGUAGAGAGAAACGAAUCCUCAGCCUCCGCUGUUUUUCAGGAAGCAUGACGUCUGCAGGCAUCUUGAAGCAUGACGUCUGCAGGCAUCUUAUAACGUAACACGACACGUUUCUCUGAAAGAACGAUUGAUCCGCUCGGAUAUAAAUAUGACGAUACGCUCUAAGUUUGCGCGCAGCACGUGCAUGUCACACCCACGCGGCCGACUAUUUCUGGCGUGAGAAAUUCAAUUGAAGUGAAAAAAGGGUCGGCGUCGCCUACGUCCCGGAGCUGGUGACGGAGGUGGUGAGGAAACUCGAUUGCUUUCUGGGUGAGAUUUUAGUUCAGGUUCAAGUAUGACGGCGAAGCGAAAGAAAGAUGCAUCUCAUCACGGAAAGAGGAGAGAAAUUUAUAACGACUGGAGUAUCUCCUUACAAGGGAAUCGAGAUACCAGAACGAGAAGAGAUCGUCGUGGUCGUCGUUGACGAGCGAACUCUAUAAUUAUACACGUGCCGAGCGCGAACGAAUGUUCUAAUUUACCAAGGACAAACGAACGGACGGACGGUUUUACAAGGUGCGAUAAUUGACGAAGGCAUAAUGUCUCCCUAAUAUGUUCAAUAGAUAAUGUAUAGUUAUCUGUCUCUGCAUGUAUUCCAUUGCGAACGAAAAUAAAAAGUUU